rnacentral:rRNA from 1 species
AUUGAACGCUGGCGGCAGGCCUAACACAUGCAAGUCGAGCGGAUGAAGGGAGCUUGCUCCUGGAUUCAGCGGCGGACGGGUGAGUAAUGCCUAGGAAUCUGCCUGGUAGUGGGGGAUAACGUCCGGAAACGGGCGCUAAUACCGCAUACGUCCUGAGGGAGAAAGUGGGGGAUCUUCGGACCUCACGCUAUCAGAUGAGCCUAGGUCGGAUUAGCUAGUUGGUGGGGUAAAGGCCUACCAAGGCGACGAUCCGUAACUGGUCUGAGAGGAUGAUCAGUCACACUGGAACUGAGACACGGUCCAGACUCCUACGGGAGGCAGCAGUGGGGAAUAUUGGACAGUGGGCGAAAGCCUGAUCCAGCCAUGCCGCGUGUGUGAAGAAGGUCUUCGGAUUGUAAAGCACUUUAAGUUGGAGGAAGGGCAGUAAGUUAAUACCUUGCUGUUUUGACGUUACCAACAGAAUAAGCACCGGCUAACUUCGUG